rnacentral:rRNA from 1 species
UACAGAGGGUGCGAGCGUUGUCCGGAUUUAUUGGGCGUAAAGAGCGUGUAGGCGGCCAUACAGGUCCGUUGUGAAAACUCGAGGCUUAACCUCGAGACGUCGAUGGAAACCGUAUGGCUAGAGUCCGGAAGAGGAGAGUGGAAUUCCUGGUGUAGCGGUGAAAUGCGCAGAUAUCAGGAAGAACACCCGUGGCGAAGGCGGCUCUCUGGGACGGUACUGACGCUGAGACGCGAAAGCGUGGGGAGCGAACAGG